rnacentral:rRNA from 1 species
AUCCUGCUAGAGGUCGCUGCUAUUUGGGUUCUAAUUAGACAUGCUAGUCUUCUCGUAAGAGAGGCGCACUGCUCAGUAACACGUAGCUAAUCUACCCUUAGAUCCGCAAUAACUUCGCGAAAGUGAGGCUAAAAGCGGGCAUUUUAUGGUUUCUGGAAUGAGCCAUAUUUGAAACGUAAGGUCUAAGGACGAGGCUGCGGCUGAUUAGGUAGUUGUUGGUGUAAUGGACUAACAAGCCGAUUAUCAGUAAGGGCUCUUAACGGAGGAGCCUUGAGAAGGACUCUGAGACACUAGUCCUAGCUCUAAGGAGUGCAGCAGUCGAGGAAAUUUUACAAUGCUCGAAAGAGUGAUAAAGGAACCCAAAGUGUUUCUGCUUAUGCAGAAACUUUUGUAUUCUCUAAAUAGGAAUACGAAUAAGGACUGGGCAAGACUGGUGCCAGCCGCCGCGGUAAUACCAGCAGUUCGAGUGGUGACCACAUUUAUUAGGUUUAAAGCGUUCGUAGCUGGUGUAACAAGUUUCUUGUGAAAUGUCAUCUCUCAAGGAUGACGCGUGCAAGAAAUACUGUUAUGCUAGAGACCAGGAGAUGUAAGGAGUAUGGCCAGGGUAACGGUAAAAUGUUUUAAUCCCGGCUAGACUAACAAUUGGCGAAGGCACCUUACAAGAAUGGUUCUGACGGUGAGGAACGAAGGCCAGGGGCGCAAACCGGAUUAGAUACCCGGGUAGUCCUGGCUGUAAACGCUGCUUACUAAACAUUGUUCUCUCCUCGAGAGAGUGCAGUGCUGAAGAGAAAUCGGAAGUAAGCCACCUGGGGAGUAUAGCCGCAAGGCCGAAACUUAAAGGAAUUGGCGGGGGGGCGCUACAAGGGGUGACGCGUGCGGUUCAAUCGGAGAAUGCACCGGAAACCUUACCAGGAGCGACAGCAGAAUGAAGGUCAGUCUAAUGGGCUUACCUAACACGCUGAGAGAUAUUGCAUGGCCGUCGUCAGCUUGUGUCGUGAGAUGCCCUGUUAAAUCAGGUAACAAGCGAGACCUGCAUGUAUAGUUGCUACGAAAGAGCACACUAUACAGACUGCCCUCGUAAGAGGGAGGAGGGUGCAGUCAACGAUAGGUCUGUAUGGUUCGAAUCCCCUGGGCUACACGCGCGCGGCAAUGCUAUAUACAAUGAGUUGCAACUCCGAGAGGAGAAGCCAAUCUCCUAAAAUAUAGCUUAGUUCAGAUUGAGGUCUGUAACUUGAUCUCAUGACGAUGGAAUCCCUAGUAAUCGGAUGUUAUCAACGUCCGGUGAAUAAGUCCCCGCUCCUUGCACACACCGCCCAUCAAAUCAACCGAGUAAUGUUUGGAUGAAGUUCGUAAGAAAAGAAUCUGAAUGUUGCAAGGUAGGUUAAGUUGUCACAAGGUA